UACAGAGGGUGCGAGCGUUGUCCGGAAUCACUGGGCGUAAAGGGCGCGUAGGCGGCCUGGCAAGUCUGUGGUGAAAGCUCGUGGCUCAACUGCGAGUCGGCCAUAGAUACUGCGAGGCUCGAGUCGACUAGAGGCAGAUGGAAUUCCGGGUGUAGCGGUGAAAUGCGUAGAGAUCGGGCGGAACACCAGCGGCGAAGGCGGCAUCCUGGUCCUGUUCUGACGCUGAGGCGCGAGAGCGUGGGGAGCGAACUGG
rnacentral:rRNA from 1 species